AAGUCGUAACAAGGUUUCCGUAGGUGAACCUGCGGAAGGAUCAUUAUGAAGUGUGAUUGUUGGCCGUCAGGCCGGCAAUGACUUUUAUCUGUGCAACACUUUUGUUUGGUCGUGCGUGGGUUGAUGUCGGUGUGUUGCGAGUCUGCGUAAGCGGGUCGAGCGGCAUACUCAUCGGUCGACCCGACCAAUAUUUACACCAAAUACAGUCUGACUACAAACAAACAAAUAAAAACUUUCAACAAUGGAUCUCUUGGCUCUGGCAUCGAUGAAGAACGCAGCGAAAUGCGAUAAGUAAUGUGAAUUGCAGAAUUCAGUGAAUCAUCGAAUCUUUGAACGCACAUUGUGCCUCUUGGUAUUCCGGGAGGCAUGCCUGUCUGAGUGUUUUUAUCUCUCUACUGUUUAUUGUUUUACGAUUUACGGUGUGUGGCCAAAGUGGUUGUUGAUCUAUCGACGUCACCUAGCCCAAGUGCAACGGUGCAAGUAAACUGCAACAAUGUUUAGAUAAUGAUCAUUGAAGCAUCUGUACAAACACCCUAAGCCGUCCCUCUAGCGUCAAACCUGGAACGGACAUAUCAACAUAACCUCAGAUCAGGUAGGACUACGCGCUGAACUUAAGCAUAUCAAUAAGCGCAGGAAAAGAAACUAACUAGGAUGCCUUCAGUAGCGGCGAGCGAAGCAGGCAGAGCUCAAAUUUGUAAUCUGGCGGCAUCUCUGUCGUCCGAGUUGUAAUUUCAAAGGUCGGGUUGGUUGUUGCAGGUGACAAGUCUGUUGGAACGCAGCACUGUGAAGGGUGAUAGUCCCGUCCAAUCUCCGUACGCAGCAGCAUAUCUCCCUUCCUGAAGAGUCGAGUUGUUUGGGAAUGCAGCUCUAAAUUGGAGGUAAAUUUCUUCUAAAGCUAAAUAUUGGCCAGAGACCGAUAGCGAACAAGCAGUGUGAACGAAAGAUGAAAAGGACUUUGAAAAGAGAGUUAAAAGUAUGUGAAAUUGUUGAAAGGGAAGCGGUUAUCUGUGAAGGUUUUGUGCGCUUGCGUAUGAUGCCCUCAGCAUCAGUUUGGGUUGUGGUAGAAUGACAUUGGAACGUGGCUUCAUUCGUGAAGUGUUAUAGCCUGUGUUGAUGUCACACCCCGGACUGAGGACUUUUGAAGAUGCUGAGUAGUGGCCAACCGACC
rnacentral:rRNA from 1 species